rnacentral:rRNA from 1 species
CUGUUUAUCAAAAACAUAGCUUCAUGAAAUAAUAUAUGAAGUAAUUCCUGCCCAGUGACAUUAGUUCAACGGCCGCGGUAUCCUAACCGUGCAAAGGUAGCAUAAUCACUUGCCUAUUAAUUGUAGGCUAGAAUGAACGGAUAAACGAAAUAAACACUGUCUCUAUCAUUAAACUAAAAAUUAUUCUCCACUCGAAGAAACGUGGAUUUAUUCGUAGGACAAGAAGACCCUAUAGAGCUUUAUUAAAAAACAAAACAACAUUGUUCUAAAAUUCGGUUGGGGCGACCAAGGGAAUACUUAUCACCCUUUACUAAAGAGAUAUAUUAAUCUAAUAAAUGACCCUUAUAAGAUCACAAAAUCAAGCUACCUUAGGGAUAACAGGCUAAUCCUAUUAUAGAGUUCUUAUCAACAAUAGGGUUUGGCACCUCGAUGUUGGCUUAGGGUAUCUAUAUAGCGCAAAAGCUACAUAAAGAUGGUUUGUUCGCCC